CCGGGCUGACAUCCGGCUGCGGCGGCGCUCCGAGCUGCUUUGCUGCCCGCUCUGAAACGAGUGCUGUGCGUGCGCGAUGGAACUUGGCCGCUUUUAGCAAUUUAGAUGGAAGAGAUGUAAGGGGCGAAGAGAAAAGGCGGCUGGCGUUCCGCCGCCGUGCCUCGCUCCGGUGUUCGCCGUGCGUUAGGAGCGCGGCCGUGCCUCCUCUUUGUAUGCUGCUGUGGGGCUGCAGGUGAAGCCCCGCGUUUCCAACGCCGAGCCCGUUCCUUUGUUUGCGGCCGUGAGGGCUGAAGCGGGCUGCCGCGAACUGCGAGCCGCUGUCCGCUCGCACCUAUCGAUGGGGCUGACGGAUGUGCAAAUGAAACCGCGCGGCACGCCGUGCCCGUCGCUCAGCGCCGGCAGAAGUGGAUCCUCCAACACCGCCGGUUUGUCGGUGCCAUCAUUAACCGAUUCCAUAUGAGCGCAUUCCUUUUUCCUUGGCGUGCAGAUGCCGGGUACUGCCUGAAGUUGGAACGUGCGCCUCCGAGUGCUUCGGGGCCGAUCUGCGAUGCUCUUAUCUGCAGAACUGCGUUGAAAAUGCCUAAUUCUGCUCUGUUGUCCUCAAUCUGAAUGUGCAGCUGAUGGGGCCGUGGUAGUUUUGCUUAAGCACGUUGAGCUAUGUUGUGUCCCAACAUCCCCGAUCGCACACCGGUAGUAUUUAAUCAUCUCAGAUUCUGGAUGUUUUCAUUGUAAAGCCUGUGAGAAUCACCGGUUGGUUUAAAUUAGUUGCCUUUCUGGUACCAUCAGGGCAGUAAGCACACAAGCACUUUGCUGAAUAAAGUUUCUAUUUGCUUACAUUGUAGAGAAGAUUAAUUUUCAGCUAGCAAUUGGAUACGACAUCUCAUUUUUGAAUAUGAAAUGCUGACCUGAUUAUGCUUUAAUUACAGAAAAAGUAAGUGUAGAAGGAUAUAGAAGGAUAAGAUAUGUGGCUCCUCUUAAAACCUAGCUUUGUUGAAAAAGCUGAAUUGCCACUUGUUAUUUCUGUCUAGAUGCUGUGUUAAGCCUUAGUGAUUGCUAACUGGAUGUUUUGGAUUCAAGAAGGGAUCGAUCAGUAUCAAAUGAAGAGUGAUAAGUGAUACGGUUUAUGAGAACAAGUCUCCCUGAUUACUGUAUGCUGCAAGUGUGUUCUAUUUUAAUCACCUUCUCAAAACCAUACUAUGUUUUGGGCUGGAAGAGGAUGCUGCUGGUUCUGAAUGAAGGCAACCUGCAGUGGUGGGUGGAAGAUCUGGGAUAUCUGGCUGUUCUUCCAUUUCACUCUUUCCACCUCUGUUUUUCCCUGUGGUCGCUUUGCCUCUCUUAGUCUGAUUUCUCCAAAGAGAGAUGGAAAUGCCCCACUUUCUGCAGCAUUCUUGCUUUUGGAACGAGCCGUUUGACACCUGGUGCUGACUGCUUGUGGCGGUGAAUGCUACACCAAGUGCUACCAAGCCUUCCUUGUUUCCCAGCUGCUGUAAAGAGGUAUCGUGAUGGACAUCUUAUCAGGUUCAUGUUGCUGGCUUCUGUUUUGAGCUUCCUCUAACCUGCUGUUUUCUGGACUAUGUCCCGGAUUCUCAAAGAUACCAAGGCGCCAGAUUGCAAUAGGAGUUGUGUGUUCCAGUACAUCUGUGAAUCAGCCUCUAAAGUUUUUGGGGAGGAAUCCUGAGGUCAUCUGACACAGAUUACAAGCUCUACAUUUCGUAUUUACGAGACUUGGUUUCAAAGAAAAAAAAGAUGCAGGAUAGGACUGGAGAAAGGAAUGGCUUGGACUGUUGUGAUUAUUUCAAACGUCUUUGCAAACAAUUUUUUUUUUGCUUUGAGGAGCCUUUUCUGUGGAGGUUGGAAGCAUGCUGUGUAACCUCUUCAUGCUACUCAAGUGCUUCCACUGCGCUGUGACCCACAUCUUGUAACACCAGCUGAACAAUGAACAUCUUGGAGAGGCAACAAGAUAUUAAUUAUAGACUUGCAGGAAAAUAAACUAAUUAGCAUCAUUAGAAACUCUCGUAUCUUUGGUAUUGGAUUCCUUAAUCCCCUGAAAUGAUUUUAAAUCAGUUAAAAUGCAAAAUAUCAUCGAAAGUGUGCACAUUUCUAAAAAUGUGUUUAUUAAUGUAGGUGCUUGGGGGUGGAAGCUGAAUUAAAUGUUAGCUUGCUUAGGAUAUUGUCUCUUUCUGGUAAUUUUUUAUACCAGAUAACUGGUAUAAAAUAGCAGUAAAAGUUACAUAUUUAACAAAAUACUUAAUAGCAGAAAUAAUGGAUGGUUUUCAAUGAGUUUAUAUCUGACCAUUGAUUGACUUUUUAGUUAAAAGCAGUGGCUGUGACAUGAAUUUUAGUCUUCAGACAACGAACUCCACAAAGGAGUAGAUUAUUAUGAAUGCCACAACUAUCUGGCAUUUAAAGCUUAUUAGGAAACAAGAAUCUGUUCUAAACCCAGGUGGUUUUUCAGCAUCUAAUAAAAGGCAUUAAAUGCUGUUGAUGCGUUUCUUACAGUUGUGAUAUUUUUAGUGUCUUUUUUUUUUCUUCCCUUUUUUUCCUGCUGUGUGGCAAGCUGCAUUCAUUUACUGGGAGUAUUAAUAAAAUCUCUGUUUUCUCUCUGGCUCUUGUUUUCCUGAAUGUGGAGACCCUCAGUAUACUUGAGGGUCUCCAAAUUUAGUAGAGAUUAGUCAAUAUAAUAUAAAGUUACUGAAGGGUAGCUUCCAAGAAAUAUUCUGUAAGUGAUCUCUUAAAAUCUGAAAAUUCUUGGGAGCUCUUAAAGAAAAAACAUUGCCCACAUGAUUUUCAGCACUUACAGCUGCAAGGUCCUGCAGCUAGAAGUACAUGAUGGCAGCAGACUCAGCAGACUGGUGGCAUGCUUGGCAACACUAACUGGUAUUGGUGACAGAGACAGUUGUGCCUCACUGGUCUGGUAGGGGUUUUGUUUGUACUAAUGAUAUAGCUGAUGUUCUAGUUUGAUUUUAACGUCGUCCUUUCUUGUAUUUUGGAGCUGUAUGUGAAAGUUUUUCAUACCUGGCUCUUAAAUAAGGAAACUGUGAGGCAACGGGUAAAGUAUUGUCGUGGGUCACAGCCUCUUAGAGGAAAUAACAGAAAUAAAUAUUAAGGUGGUUUUGCCUUAAAUUGUGAGGUGUUUAAUAUUAAUGAUCUCUGGAAGUUGAUUUAUAAAGCCACACACUCAAAGUUGUUUAAUCACAUUCAGAAAUACUGGAAAGGUCAUUGGAGAAGUCUCAUUAAGCUGUGUGGAAGGACAGCAAGAUGACAGGUAAAACUAAGCGUCAGUAUAUGCAGGACUGUUUUAUGGAGGCAGAAACCAUUUAUAUCUCUUGAAAGAUACUAAGUUAACAGUAUUAAUAUAACAAGCAUAUUUCAUCAUCAUUGCAGAUUGCUGAGGUAUCCAAGUACGCAAUUUAUAGCUGUAAUCAGAAGUGGAGAAAAAGUAUCAAGAAGGAAGUGUCAUUCUAUAUGAAUUCUGUAAUUCAUUUUUGCUAUUCAAAGUAUGUAAUUAACCAUCAACUGGUUUUGGGGAAAAAAAAAAACCAACAACCCGUAGAAUUGUAGAGAGUUUGGUACAAAAGAUAGGACAGAAUUUUUAGGGUGACUGAAAAAAUUGGAAGUAUUUACUGCAGGAAACGAAGAGCUGAUCAAACAAAUGGGGACUAGAAAGUUUUAAAGUAGACAUGAAUUUGUGCUGUUCAGCAGCUGAUGAGAAAGGGGAAAAAAAGCUGCGUUCAGAAAAUGAUAAUUUAUUGAAUUUGUACCUUUUUACAAGGACAAGGGAACUGAGAACUUUCCCCUGCUUCCACUCAAUGUACCUGUAUUUGUCUUUGAGUAUGUAUCUAUCAUCCACUGUUAGACUGUUUCUCUUGAAUACACAUAGCCAGCUUAACAGCCUUGCUUUAUUUGCUUCAAACCAAUGGUUUGAACUUUACUCUUUCCCAUCAGAGAUGACUGCUCAAAUAAAUUAAUAUUCAUUGGAGUGAGCUAUUCUCAGUCUUCUGCAUCUGAAGUGAAUUUUGUAAUUUCUGGGCAUUGGAGUCAUUGCCUGACAGUUUGGUGUAAUGAAUUGUUUCAUACAAAAUGAAACAGAACAAAUCAGUGGGACAAUGAGAGAAACUCUUAAAACAAUAUGUUGGCUAUGGCUCUGACUUGUAGCCUGGGGUUCACUGCUUCGAAAGCAACCAUGGAUGAAAACUGAUGUUUGAAGAGAAAAUUUCCUAGGUCAAUUUAGCAUGCCCAAAGAACGUCGGAGGUGUAAAGUAGAGGAGCAUGGGGGUCCUUUUGUGAGGGUAAUUCUUCUUUCAAGUUAUUUCUUUUAUUUAGUACCAGAACAUCUGAAAUAGAUGUGUUAUUGAAAACUGAAAGUUUGGUUGAUGCUGAAGUACUUUUCUAAUGGUUGCUUGUCUUAAAUAAUGCGUUACAGCCCAUUGUGCAGCAGCACCUAUUUGCCAUGGAACCAUGGAAUGGCCCCGGUUGGAAGGGACCUCAAGGAUCAUGAAUCUCCAACCCCCCCACCACAGGCA